rnacentral:rRNA from 1 species
CGAUUUGUUGCAAGGUUAAGCGGAAAAAGCGGAGCCGUAGCGAAAGCGAGUCUGAAUAGGGCGCAUAAGUAACAGGUCGUAGACCCGAAACCAGGUGAUCUACCCAUGUCCAGGAUGAAGGUAAGGUAAUACUUACUGGAGGUCCGAACCCACGCACGUUGAAAAGUGCGGGGAUGAGGUGUGGGUAGCGGAGAAAUUCCAAUCGAACUUGGAGAUAGCUGGUUCUCUCCGAAAUAGCUUUAGGGCUAGCCUCGAGGUAAAGAGUCAUGGAGGUAGAGCACUGUUUGGACUAGGGGCCCUUCUCGGGUUACCGAAUUCAGAUAAACUCCGAAUGCCAUGUACUUAUACUCGGGAGUCAGACUGCGAGUGAUAAGA